AUUGAACGCUGGCGGCAGGCCUAACACAUGCAAGUCGAGCGGUAGAGAGAAGCUUGCUUCUCUUGAGAGCGGCGGACGGGUGAGUAAUGCCUAGGAAUCUGCCUGGUAGUGGGGGAUAACGUUCGGAAACGGACGCUAAUACCGCAUACGUCCUACGGGAGAAAGCAGGGGACCUUCGGGCCUUGCGCUAGCAGAUGAGCCUAGGUCGGAUUAGCUAGUUGGUGGGGUAAUGGCUCACCAAGGGGACGAUCCGUAACUGGUCUGAGAGGAUGAUCAGUCACACUGGGACUGAGACACGGUCCAGACUCCUACGGGAGGCAGCAGUGGGGAAUAUUGGACAAUGGGCGAAAGCCUGGUCCAGCCAUGCCGCGUGUGUGAAGAAGGUCUUCGGAUUGUAAAGCACUUUAAGUUGGGAGGAAGGGCAGUAAAUUAAUACUUUGCUGUUUUGACGUUACCGACAGAAUAAGCACCGGCUAACUCUGUGCCAGCCGCCGCGGUAA
rnacentral:rRNA from 1 species